rnacentral:rRNA from 1 species
UAGGGAAUCUUCGGCAAUGGACGAAAGUCUGACCGAGCAACGCCGCGUGAGUGAAGAAGGUUUUCGGAUCGUAAAACUCUGUUGUUAGAGAAGAACAAGGACGUUAGUAACUGAACGUCACCUGACGGUAUCUAACCAGAAAGCCACGGCUAACUACGUGCCAGCAGCCGCGGUAAUACGUAGGUGGCAAGCGUUGUCCGGAUUUAUUGGGCGUAAAGCGAGCGCAGGCGGUUUCUUUAGUCUGAUGUGAAAGCCCCCGGCUCAGCCGGGAAGGUUCGUUGGAAGCUGGGAGACGUGAGUGAAGAAGAGGAGAGUGGAAUUCCAUGUGUGGCGGUGAAAUGCGUAGAUAUAUGGAGGAACACCAGUGGCGAAGGCGGCUCUCUGGUCUGUAACUGACGCUGAGGCUCGAAAGCGUGGGGAGCAAACAGG